UUAGAGUUUGAUCCUGGCUCAGGAUGAACGCUAGCGGCAGGCUUAACACAUGCAAGUCGAGGGGCAGCGAGAUCAGUGCUUGCACUGAUUGUCGGCGACCGGCGCACGGGUGCGUAACGCGUAUGCAACCUACCCAUUACAGGGGGAUAACACUGAGAAAUCGGUACUAAUACCCCAUAACAUCCAGGGAGGCAUCUUCUUGGGUUGAAAACUCCGGUGGUAAUGGAUGGGCAUGCGUUGUAUUAGUUAGUUGGUGGGGUAACGGCUCACCAAGACAACGAUACAUAGGGGGACUGAGAGGUUAACCCCCCACAUUGGUACUGAGACACGGACCAAACUCCUACGGGAGGCAGCAGUGAGGAAUAUUGGUCAAUGGACGCAAGUCUGAACCAGCCAUGCCGCGUGCAGGAAGACGGCUCUAUGAGUUGUAAACUGCUUUUGUACGAGGGUAAACGCAGAUACGCGUAUCUGUCUGAAAGUAUCGUACGAAUAAGGAUCGGCUAACUCCGUGCUAGCAGCCGCGGUAAUACGGAGGAUUCAAGCGUUAUCCGGAUUUAUUGGGUUUAAAGGGUGCGUAGGCGGUCGGAUAAGUUAGAGGUGAAAUCCCGGGGCUCAACUUCGGAAUUGCCUCUGAUACUGUUCGGCUAGAGAGUAGUUGCGGUAGGCGGAAUGUAUGGUGUAGCGGUGAAAUGCUUAGAGAUCAUACAGAACACCGAUUGCGAAGGCAGCUUACCAAGCUACUUCUGACGUUGAGGCACGAAAGCGUGGGGAGCAAACAGGAUUAGAUACCCUGGUAGUCCACGCAGUAAACGAUGAUAACUCGUUGUCGGCGAUACAGUGUCGGUGACUAAGCGAAAGCGAUAAGUUAUCCACCUGGGGAGUACGUUCGCAAGAAUGAAACUCAAAGGAAUUGACGGGGGCCCGCACAAGCGGAGGAACAUGUGGUUUAAUUCGAUGAUACGCGAGGAACCUUACCCGGGCUUGAAAGUUAGUGACGGAUCUUGAAAGAGGUCUUCCCUUCGGGGCACGAAACUAGGUGCUGCAUGGUUGUCGUCAGCUCGUGCCGUGAGGUGUCGGGUUAAGUCCCAUAACGAGCGCAACCCCUACCGUUAGUUGCCAGCAGGUCAAGCUGGGCACUCUGACGGGACUGCCGGUGUAAGCCGAGAGGAAGGUGGGGAUGACGUCAAAUCAGCACGGCCCUUACGUCCGGGGCUACACACGUGUUACAAUGGCAGGUACAGAGGGCAGCUACCCAGCGAUGGGAUGCGAAUCUCGAAAGCCUGUCUCAGUUCGGAUUGGAGGCUGAAACCCGCCUCCAUGAAGUUGGAUUCGCUAGUAAUCGCGCAUCAGCCAUGGCGCGGUGAAUACGUUCCCGGGCCUUGUACACACCGCCCGUCA
rnacentral:rRNA from 1 species